CCGAAUUGUCGACACGAGUUGUUGCUGGCCCUCUCCAAAAGGGAGGGUAUGUGCACGCUCUGUUCACACAUCCACUUACACCUGUGCACCCUCCGUAGUUCUAUGGCCUGGGGGGCCUCUGCUCUCCUGCUGUGGCUCUAUGUUUUUACACAUACACACUGUAAUAAGGUCUUAUGGAAUGUAUGCCGCGUUUAACGCAAUACAAUA
rnacentral:misc_RNA from 1 species